UACGUAGGCAGCGAGCGUUGUUCGGAGUUACUGGGCGUAAAGGGUGUGUAGGCGGUUCUUUAAGUUUAGUGUGAAAUCUCCCGGCUCAACCGGGAGGGCGCGCUGAAUACUGAGGGACUAGAGUACGGGAGAGGAAAGUGGAAUUCCUGGUGUAGCGGUGAAAUGCGUAGAUAUCAGGAAGAACACCGGUGGUGUAGACGGCUUUCUGGACCGUAACUGACGCUGAGACACGAAAGCGUGGGUAGCAAACAGG
rnacentral:rRNA from 1 species